rnacentral:rRNA from 1 species
UACGGAGGGUGCAAGCGUUAUCCGGAUUCACUGGGUUUAAAGGGAGCGUAGGUGGGGUGGUAAGUCAGUGGUGAAAUCUCCGGGCUUAACUCGGAAACUGCCGUUGAUACUAUCAUUCUUGAAUAUCGUGGAGGUAAGCGGAAUAUGUCAUGUAGCGGUGGAAUGCUUAGAUAUGACAUAGAGCACCGAUAGCGAAGGCAGCUUGCUACACAAUUAUUGACACUGAGGCUCGAAAGCGUGGGGAUCAAACAGG